AGGGCGUGGCGGGACCGGGGGUGCGGCGGCCGCUCCUGCCGGCCCCGACCUCGGCGGCAUUCUGGGUUCGAUCGUCGGAGGCCUUACCA
rnacentral:tRNA from 1 species